GAGAAGUGGUGGUGUAGCUCAUUUCCUGUGCUUCUGCUGCUGCUUAUGUUUGACUCUCUCUGUUAAGACUGUUGUUCUCACAGAUAUGGAUUUUUUGAUGACAGAGUCAACUUAUAAACUUCUUAUCUUUUUAUGCAUGAUACGAGGAACAUACGGAGUUCUCAUAAAUUAUAAUGCGAUCGCAACUGCUGUGGAGGGACAGAACGUCAGCCUGCAGUGCAUUGUGGGAGAGGAGCAUGGCAUCACAAUUAUCCAGGUGGAAUGGAUUAAACAGCAAAAAGGAAAUGAGAAGAACGAUCAGAAGAUUGUUGUGUUCCAUCCUGGGUUCCCAACACAUUUUUUUAAAUCUGGUCCUCUUCUGGAGACAGUUACUAGUUCAAAAACUGGGAAGCUGCAAGGCUCAAUCCUGACCCUGUAUAAAGUUACAGUGAAUGACAGUGGAAACUAUAUUUGUGAAAUUACUUCCUAUCCUAUUGGCUCGAUUAACAGAACCACAACGCUGCAAUUCGCAGGUAAACUGUUUACUGUAACCUGAUUUCACAUUUAAAAUCAAAUAAGCAUCAUCUGUCUGCUAAUUUCAGAGCCUCCAGCAUCAGUGAAGAUGCCAUAUCCAUAUGGAUUCAUAAAAGAGGGGGAUGAUAUGAAAAUAACUUGUUCAGCGAUCCCUCCACCACUCCGUUAUAAACUGAGACGUUCAAAGGUGAGUCAGAUGGAAAAAUACACAUUUCUAUAUGCCACAGUUUAUAACUGUUGUGUUGAUCUCAUUCGUCUCAUCAGAACAAGAUAUUUUGGCUGGAAAGCUCAAACGGAGAGUUCAUUUUACCACAUGUCACCAGAAACGACAGCGAUGUGUACAUCUGUUUACCUGAAUGGGACUCGUUAGUCCCAAAUCUGCAAGGUCUCAAUGCCACCGUCGAACUGACUGUGAAUUGUGAGUGUUUGUACUGAGAAUAUAAAUCAAUUGCACCUAAAAAGGUUUUUGAAUGAUUUUUUAUCAUUGUCUGUCGAAUAAAAGCUCUUAGAAAUAAACAAAUCCAUAUAAAAUAAUUCCUGGUUUUCCAAACAGUUCUUGAUGGCAUUGAGUGUAACACAAGCAGCCCUUUAAACGUCAGCGCUGGUGAGGAUGUGGCGAUUUCUUGUAUCGUAAAAGCUUCACAGUACUUGCAGUAUAAGUGGAUGAGGGUAAGAUCGUGAAAUAUUAAAAGAUUGAAAUGAAAUAUUAAAGCAGUAUUGUUUUAAU
rnacentral:lncRNA from 1 species